AUCCAUAGUUAGACAGUAUCCAAACCUUUUGAUAAUCGCAAAUAUGGUACCACCGCCUCCACCACAUGAUCAACCUCCCCAUCAUGGAGGUCCACCAGGUCCACAUGAACCCCAAGGAGGUCCACCUGGCCCUCAAGGAGGCCCACCACCAAAAGGCCCAGGUCAUGACGGUCCUCCACCUCAUCAUUAAAUGAAGACAUAUUCCUACUUUUAGAAUUCUCGUAAUAUUUUGUGUUACACAGAUACUAUUUUUUAUUAUAAUGAAUUGAAAAUAAAGCAUGUUAGAAUACCA